rnacentral:rRNA from 1 species
CAAUAGCGUAUAUUAAAGUUGUUGCGUUAAAAGAACUCGUAGUUGGAGUUUCUUGCCGUGAGGCAGGCCGGUCCCGCACGUUAGUGCGUGUAUCUGGUUUGGUUUGGGCAUCCUCUUGGGGAUCGUUGCUGUGCUUAGUUGCAUGGUGCGGAAUUCAAGACGUUUACUUUGAGGAAAUUAGAGUGGUUACGGCAAGCUAUCGCUUUGAAUACAUUAGCAUGGAAUAAUAAUAUAGGGCGUAAGUUCUAUCUUGUUGGUUUCUAGAACAUACGCAAUGAUUAAUAGGGACAAUUGGGGGCAUUCGUAUUAACGCGUCAGAGGUGGAAUUCUUAGAUUGCGUUACGACGAACUACUGCGAAAGCAUUUGCCAAGGAUGUUUCAUUGAUCAAGAACGAAAGUAUGGGGAUCGAAGAUGAUUAGAUACCAU